rnacentral:rRNA from 1 species
AAAUGAAUUGACGGGGGCCCGCACAAGCAGUGGAGUAUGUGGUUUAAUUCGAAGCAACGCGAAGAACCUUACCAGGUCUUGACAUCUCCUGCAUACCUAAGAGAUUAGGGAAGCCCUUCGGGGCAGGAAGACAGGUGGUGCAUGGUUGUCGUCAGCUCGUGUCGUGAGAUGUUGGGUUAAGUCCCGCAACGAGCGCAACCCUUGCUAUUAGUUGCUACAUUCAGUUGAGCACUCUAAUGGGACUGCCGUUGACAAAACGGAGGAAGGUGGGGAUGACGUCAAAUCAUCAUGCCCCUUAUGACCUGGGCCACACACGUACUACAAUGGUUACCAACAGAGGGAAGCGAAGCCGCGAGGUGGAGCGAACCCCUAAAAGUAAUCUCAGUUCGGAUUGUAGGCUGCAACUCGCCUAUAUGAAGCCGGAAUUGCUAGUAAUCGCAGAUCAGCAUGCUGCGGUGAAUACGUUCCCGGGCCUUGUACACACCGCCCGU